rnacentral:lncRNA from 1 species
AAAACUCUCCCACACACAAGAAAUUCAAACUGUGUGGUCAUAGCGAAAAACUGGUACAGGUCCAGCUCUUCUCAGAUCAUCCCCUGCCCUAUUGUCAGCUUUGCCUCUGUUCUUUUCUCCAUCUGAGAAGUACUGGGAUUUAUCUCUCUUCUAAAAGGAGAAGAGAGACAAUGGAUAAAAGGGGUAUAAAACUUGCAUUACUUAUGCACAGUCCUCCAGGGGAGCUCGAAGCCCAGGUGCACAUUCAGGAAUUAAGAGGAGACCCAACAAAAAGUCAGGUUAUCCUCGGCUUAACUUUAAGCCCAUAAAACGUAAUGCUAUAUAGUCUGAGGUGCAUAUUAUGAAACACUCAGGCUAUAAAGUAUCUUUCUAAGGUCCUAGUUGAAACAUGACUUAUUUAGAGAUACUCUUCUCUCUCUUACGAUGCAUGCCAAUAAUUCUAAGAACUUUAGAAACAUCUUUUAUAAGACACCAUCAUAUCCAAUGGUUCUGUCUUGAGGGGUGCUUUGAAAUUUCCAGGACCACACUGAAAGAGGUCAUACACUGAUAUCAGGCAUCUUCACUGAGAGUCAAAGUGAUUUGGAAACUGGAUAUUGUGUAGUAUUACUCAUUGUAAGGGACUUGUGUCUGAGAGAGGGCCACUGUGCCCGAGAAUAUCUAAGCUCAUGCUUUUCUAUGUACACAGAUGCCUAUUUGGUUGUGCCAGUCUUCUGAAUGCCUUGAGCUCCCCGUUUACCGCUCAGGCGCUGCCAUCUUUUCAGGGUGCAGGGAAACCCUGAGCUCUGUCCAGUCUCCAGUGGUGCUGAUUAUGAACCUGAUGGCCAACCUUUCUCACACCUCUUUGGUUUGCCAAUGCUGCUUAUCUCCUGGGCUAUGAGGUCACAUGUGGGCUUCUCCCAGACACAGCAAAAACAUGGUGGGGACUUCAUCUCUACCACAAUACACUUCAUAUCACUUUAAGAAAAACAGUAACUGUCUCUGGAGUUACCGAAUUGGGCAUGGGGAUUUUGCGGUUCUACAGAGUGUGAAAAAGAGGGAGAUUUAACUACGUGCUGGAGUAAAACCCUUUCUCAGACAAUACUUGACUGCAAUCUUGUCAUCUGACGUUGGUUAUUCCAUAGGAUGGAAAUUCCCGUCUCCGGUCUCACUUCCCGUUCUUUCUACAAACCACAGGCAUCUAAGCAUGGAUCCAGGUCAUUCCCAAACUUUUGAGCCAGUUCUUCUGUGGGCAUGAAAAUAGACGUCUCGGGUUCACAAUUUAUCUGUGCUUUGGUUCUGGAAAAUGAGGACAGCUACGAGCUGGUGGCUACAUUUGAGGUUUCAGAGUUUACUUGGAGAAAAUAUAGGCAAAUAACCCUGCAACACAUCUUUCCCACUCCCACAAGGAGAAAACUGACUGCAUUCCAGAGUGAUUUUCCCUAGGGCCAAGCACAAAAUGUGGAACACAGCAUGGGGAUUAAUUACUUCAACUUGAAUGUUGGAAUUUUAUUCCAAAUCCAAACUCAUGACAACUAAGAAAGACCAAAGAGGAGUAUGUUUACAAUAUUUAGCAAAUGUCACCUUGAUGCUAUCAUCUACGAAGGACUCAGAGAUGAUAGAGAAAGUAUACUUAAAUAAUUUGCUUCUUUACACGUUGAAUUAAAAAUCUAAUGUCUAAAACAAGACUUGAUGGGAGUAGAAGCAAUGUGAUUUAAAUUUAAAAGGUGAUCUAAUUCUGUUAAUUGCACCACACUCUCAAAUGAAAGAAGGCAGACCACAAAGCUACACUGCAUUUUAAAAAUACUGAACUCGAUCAGAUAUGUAUCUGUGAAACUGGUUUUCUCGUGAAGAAAAAUUCACACUUCCCAAAAAUGUCUAUUAUGUUAACAUGACUUAUUUAGUCUACCAUACACAAAUCAAGUUACCAGUAAACUAAGUUUAUUUAUUUAUUUAUUUAUUAUUUUAGGGCUUCCAUAUGGAAGUUCCCAGGUUAGGGGUCAAGUCGGAGCUGCAGCCAGUAGCCUAUGCCACAGACAUGGCAAUGCAGAAUCUGAGGAGCAGGUGUAGUGAUCUACACCACAGCUUACAGCAACACUGGAUCCUUAACCCGAUGAGCAAGGCCAGGGAUCGAACCUGUGUCCUCAUGGUUCAUCACCACCAAGGCACAACAGCAACGCCCAAGUUUCCAGUAAACUAAGUUUAAAAGCAGAAAAUUUUCUGUAAUUAUGCAUGGGUCUAUUAUUAAAAUCACAAUUGGAACUUUAUAGCACGUUGAACUGAUUUGAAACAAGCUAGUCGGACAGUUGCAACAUUGUUGAAGUUAUGAUAAGCAGUUGUCAUAAAAAGCUCUAUGAAAUAUCUGAGCUUCAGAAUGAACAUGUCAAGCCAUGCUGAUCAAAGGAAAAACAAAGAGAUCUGAUAUCAAUGUGUGACAAAGAAACCAAAGCUUCUAUGAGAAGUUUUAAGUGCCAAGAAAAUCUCAACGAGAAAUCUAAAUGAUAAAGAUCUUAAAAAUAUACAUGGCAUUUUAUGACAAAAUUUUAAUUCAUUAAAAACAACUGGGGAAUUCCCAUCACGCCUCAGCAGAAACCAAUCUGACUUAGUAUCCUUGAGGACACUGGUUUGAUCUCUGGCCUCAUUCAGUGGGUUAAGGAUCUGGCACUGCCAUGAGCUGUGGUAUAGGUCGUAGACAUGGCUCGGAUCCGGUGUUGUUGUGUCUGUGUGUAGGCUGGCAGCUCCAGCUCUGAUUCAACCCCUAGCCUGGGAACCUCCAUACACCAUGGGUGCCACCCUAAAAAGACCAAGAGGAAGAAAAAAUAAAAGAGAACAGAAGUAGAUUAUAAAGAAGGGACACAUGCCUUCUGAUUUGCCUUGACUGUGGAGUGUCUCUGGCUGUCCUAUCAGACAGCUGGCUUUACAGCCACUGGUUCCAAUAUCAUGUCAUGACCAGCCAUCCCAAUGCCGUGUUGUAUUUUUAAUGUAAAAACAAACCUCAAGGAAAGAACAAGUCCCGUCAGAAAUGCUCCUUCUCUUCAACCUCCCUUCCAUUUUCGACUCUUCAAUCCUUUUGCUUUUCCAAGUAUGGAGACACAUAGAUACCCUGUCCCAGAAUUUACUUUAGCCUUUUCUCCUAAUGUGAGCAGCAGGAUGAAAAGCCUCCAUGAAGAACAAAAGGAUUCCACAGCGCAGUCAACACAGACAGAGACCGAUGGAGGGAAACCAUUUAUGGAUUUUCAGCUCUCUCUAGGAGAUACAAGACUAUUACAUCCACACACACACACACACACAAGGUCAGAAUUUUACCCUUGCAACUGCUAUAAAUUUCAAAUGACCUUUUUAAAAAAUCUUGUAGCCAUAAAACAAGCACAAUCCUUCUCAGGUUGUAGACUUGGCCAGUUUUUAAAUCUACAUUUAUAAUUCUCUAUUUUUAUCACAUUACUGCAACCCAAUUCAUAUACUCGUUGCUGAUGUGGUCUGAAGUUUUUGUUGGCAUGAGCUGAGUGGUGACAGAUUUCUCCAUUUUUGAAUAACUUCCCAGCCCCUGACAAGCUCGAUUCUACACCAACUCACAGCAUAUGUGCUUACCCCACACUUUUCAGAGACAGUGCUAUUUUAAGGCACCAUUUUUGCCUUAUGGCAGCUCUUUCCUUUAUCGCCUCACCUGUGCAAUUGCUUUGCCUUUGUUCCCUGAAUUCGAAUGUAAAAGGCAAGCAACCACACAGAUGGUGUGCAGAAGAGAGUGGCAGAGAUGCUGUGUCUCUUCUGAACUACAGCAAUUUCCUAUGCGAUGCUAGGGCAGGCUGAGCUCAAGAUGUCUCCAGCCCAGGAUGCCCUGCCCUGGCCCCCAGAACUAUGGAUAUAAGAUUUCACUCCCUGUACAUGGCAAAGGAGGUUUUGGAAGAUGUAAAUAAGGGUACCAACCAUUUGACUGUGAGUCAAUUCAAGAGGAGAUUAUCUGGGUGGAUCUUAUCCGGUCACCCAAGUCCUUCACAAGAGCAUUUUCUCUGGGUUUUUAGCAGAAGGGGAAAUCAGAGAGGUUCUAAACAGGAGAGGGAGUCAAUGCAUCAUGCCUGGUUUGGAAGACAGAGGGACACCUGCAGGUGCGGGUGAGAGGUGUCUAGGGAUGGAGUACGGCCACUGCCCAACAUCUGGCCAUAAAACAAGGAUCUCCAUCCUACAACAGCAAGGAGCUGGCUUCUUCACUACGGGGAUGAGCUAGGACAUGGAGGCUUCUCCAGCGCCCACAGCUCAGAGGCUUCCCUGCAGGGCACCAUGUGACUGCGGCCUUGUGAAACUCUAGGCAGAGAACCCAGCAACAUCUUGCUGUAUUUCUACAGAAUCGUAAGCUAAGAAACAGAUACUGUGUCAAUUCCCCACAUCUGUGGUCAUUUGUUACAGAGGAGUCGUUACAGUGUCUUCCAUGACAACUUAGGAUCUGCUAGGUGUACAAUAAGUUAGAAGGAUGCUGUGCACAGCACAGAGAAUACGGUGCACAUUUAGUAACUUCCUAUGGAGCAUAAUCUACAAAAAUACUGAAUUCGUAUGUUGUACACGUGAAACUAACCCAAACUGUAAAAUCAACUACACAAAACCAAACCAAACCCCAAAACUUAGGAUCUGCUAUUCUGAGAUGAGCAUGAGCAAUGAAUGUCCACUGGGGGGUAGGGUUGAUCCGUUCUCCUACAGCGAACAAGUCACACCGCUUCUACCAUCCACACAUUUCUCUACCCAUCCCCUUCUGGACACUCAGCUGGGAAACUUUCAUCUAAACUGUGAUGAGCCUCCUCACUCUUUUCCUCACUUCCAUUCUCUGCUCUGAGCUCCUAAUAAUCUGUUAGACUCAUCGUCCCCAAACACAGCUGUGACCAGACUAUGCUAACUUUUUUAAAAAAGGAAUCAUCGUUGCCUCUUUGUAAAGUAUAAAUGCCUCCUGCUGGAACUCAAGUCCUCUAAGACCUGCCUCCAAGGCCUGAAAGACCACCUGGAGGAAAUGAAUCUCCACGGUGAUUUGUGAAAUCGCAGAGCAAAUAAUAGCCUGAGUUUAUCACACACGAGCUCUGUGACAUUAAAACCCACCCUCAGAAGCUCAACGGAACAAAACUUGAGCAGUCACAAACCCUGCUCAUCUGUACAGAACACGCGGAUAGCUUUCGCUUUCGGUGGAGAAACCAGAUGGAAAAAGAGCAUUACAAAACCACAAUGCAAAAAAAAAUCAAGCCCUCAUAUCAUCAGCUGCAUCUUCUGAAAACCUCAGGUCAUUAGUCAAAAAGAAAUGGGGCAGAAGGCAAGGUCCAAGACUGCACAUUAAAGAAAAACCCCAAUCUCAAAGGAAAUAGAAAUGAUUUAGGCAAGAGCAUGUAAACCACACACUGAAUGAACCCUCACCAAUAUCCAGUCACUGUGCGUCCACUAGCAAAGACUAGACUUAUAUGAAAAGGGAAUUAUGAAAAAGCCAGAAAGAAUAUUAGAAAAUGCAAACUAGAAGGAUCGAAAUAAUUCAUGGGAAUGAUGGAAGACAAAGUAAGGAAAUUCCCGGGACAUAAAACUAAAAGAUAAAUGUAUACAACUUAAGAUAGAUGUGAUUUCGUUACUCAAGCGAGACAUGGUAUCACAUGAGCAGGAUUUUUAGAAAGAGAAAGCAAAAGGAAUACAUUAUGUUUUAAAAUAUAAAAUCGGAAACACCCGUUUUAGGUCAAAGGUAAAAGGAAUGAACGAGAAGUCCCUAUGACAUUCCAGAACCCCAAGAAUGAACUCCACCCCAAACAGUGGGACGCAGAGUCAGUGUAGACUAUUUACCAAUGAGUGAGGUCAAGGUUUGUUGAGAGACUGCACCUGUGACUGUGGUUGACGACCACAAUGAGCAGCCUCUCAGGAACAAGGUGAUAGGAAGCUGGUCAAACUAUUAAUCCAGUUGGAGGCCGACGGUGGACAUAUUCAGCCUUCAUAAAAUUCAUGUUCCAGAGUUCCCAUCAUGGCUCAGCAGAAACAAAUUCAACUAGUACCCAGAAGGACACAGGUUUGAUCCCUGGCCUUGCUCAGUGGGUUUAGGAUCCGGUGCUGCCGUGAGCUGUGGUGUAGGUCGCCGACGUGGCUCAGACCCUGCAUUGCUGUGGAUGUGGCAAAAGCCAGCGGCUAUAGCUCCGAUUUCACCCCUGGCCUGGGAACUUCCAUAUGCCACAGGUGUGGCUCUAAAAAG